rnacentral:lncRNA from 1 species
AUUAGACUUCAUGUGUUUUAGCAACAACUCAAGUUUUAUAAAAUUUAAGUUGUGGAGCUCGGUCGCAAGAUAUAACAAAUAAGGCCAUGCUCAUUGAGAAAGAUGGUUUAUUUUAGACUCAUAAAUUUGAUUGGGCCAUGUACCAUAACCAUCUAGCCUCUUCCCAUAUAUUGAGGGUCGGUUUUAUGGAUCCUCACUAGCCAAGGUUUUUCUAUUUAGGGCCACCUAUGAUGUUGUUCCAAGCUUAUCCUUCUUCACAAUCUCCACCAUAUCAUCUUAUAUUUUUUCCUCCUUUUUUCAUCACUUUCAAUGUAAUCAAAGUAACAUUCUUUAUGAGAGUCUUCUCCAAUUUCCAUGGUACAUUUUUAUACCAUCCCAAUCAAUUUUUUUAUUAUUUUAUGUUAUGCAACUCCUAAGCUCCUCUUAUAUACUUAUUUCUUAUUUUAUCAUCUGAUAUAUUUAUUUCUUAUUUAUCUGUUCUAGUUUAACGAAAUAUUCAUUUUAAUUUAUUCAGUUCUACUACUCUCAACUUGUUUUCAUAUACUUUCUUUAUUACCAAGCACUCUGAAUGAUAUAAGAUAGUAGGUCUUGCUAUUGUUCUAUUCCUUUAAAUUUCCACGGUAUGCAUCUCUCAUAUAGUAUUUCAGAAGUAUUUUUCUACUUCAUUCAACCAAUCCUAAUUCUAUUACAUGUAUCUUCAUCUAUAUCUCCAUUGUAUAAUAGGUUCUGUGUAACAAAAAUAAUCACAUUUUGCCAUCUCUUGGUCAUCAAUAUUAAUUAUAUAACAUCUUCUUUUCC